rnacentral:rRNA from 1 species
GACGAACCGUGCGAACGUUGUUCGGAAUCACUGGGCUUAAAGGGCGCGUAGGCGGCUCGCGAGGUCGGGGGUGAAAUCCCGCAGCUUAACUGCGGAAGGGCCUCCGAAACCGGCGGGCUGGAGGAAGGUAGGGGUGCGCGGAACUUCUGGUGGAGCGGUGAAAUGCGUUGAUAUCAGAAGGAACGCCGGCGGCGAAAGCGGCGCACUGGACCUUUUCUGACGCUGAGGCGCGAAAGCUAGGGGAGCAAACGGG